ensembl:snRNA U1 U1 spliceosomal RNA
AUACUUAACUGGCAGGCGAAUACCGUGAUCAAGAAGGCGGGUCACCCAGGGCGAGGCUCAGCCAUUGCACCCCGGAUGAGCUGACUCCUGCGAAUUCCCCAAAGUGGGAAUCUCGACUGCAUAAUUUCUUGUAGUUGGGGACUGCGUACGCACUCUUCCCUG